ACAGAAAAAAAGAAGAAAAAAGCAAUUGUCAUAUUUCAUAAAUCCUGCUGGUGUAGCAGAGGUAGCCACUGAACAAUGAGAGGGACAGCAAAGAAAGCUUGCUAUCAUAAGGCCAAUCAGGCAAGACCGAAUUCUACACAGCCUCUUGCAUCUCGGCACCCUGCCAUGAGGUGUUACGUGGUUGCGCUGUGCAGCGCACUCCUUACCUUGACUGCCGUUUCGCCAAUAGUUGCGGGCCCUUGUCCUGUGCCUACUUGCCAGCAACACAGACCACCUGACUGUCCAAGCCCAGGAAGCUCGUGCGGCUGCAGAUGC
rnacentral:lncRNA from 1 species